GAUUCCUUGGGUUUUCAAUCUUUCUUCUAUGGUUGCUAGCCCUUUGAGUUGUGGCUGGUGCCACCAAGGACCUGAAUUUUCCGUUUCAUUUAAUUUUAACCAAUUUGAAUGCAAAUAGCUGCACAUCAGGAGUGAUGACUGUAGAGGACAGAGAAGCAAGUGCAGGAUCUGUAGAAAAGGAGAGAUAUUAUUGAAGGACAUUUUCAUUUUUGUAUAAGAUAGUAGAGAUGUGUAUGAUUUUAAAUGCCAGUGAGCCCUCGGUAGCAAAAACGAGCGCUUGAUGGUGCAGAGGUGGAGCAGGGAGUGAGAAACAGAGCAUCUUUGAGAGUGAGGGCAGUGCUGUGUGGGAUCCCGUGCACUGUCCUUCCCCACAGAACAGAAGCCUGAUCCUAUGGAAGUGGCGAGGGAGAGUCAUGGGUCUGAACUCCAUUGGGUGUGUAGACUGAUGGCAGAAAGUUGAGUGGGUUUCCAGCUGAAGGAUUCCAUCUUCUCCGCAUGGCAGGAAUCAAGGUCAUUUACUGCAAGUGAGGGUAAGAAUAGUAUGUUACAGCUUUUGAGAGUUGAGGAUUGAAAACAGGAAGCUGACUAAGGAAAUAUAUGAAGUGUGUUGAGCAAUUCUUAUGUUGUAGACGGGGAAAACUGAGGCAUGGGAGGUUGUACAAUUUGCUAACUAUCUCUCAAGUCCUGAGAGCCAUCAGGCCUUGAGUCCUUGUAAUUCUAGAGCCAUGGAUCUUAACACUGCUUCUCCAUUGGCCCACUUGUGUCUUUUUCUUAGCACCUUUGUGUGCCUUCAUUUUCUAUCGUAUUUGCUCAUAUAACGGAUUUGUUUCUCUUAGGAAAUUUGGCUGUUUUGUCCUAGUACUUCUGCAGUGUCUAGUAUAAUUCUGUGCACACAGAGGAGGCUUCGGUAAUAUUUGUUGAAUGGGUGAAUGGAUGAAUGAAGAAAGGAACGUUGCAUGAAACAUAGGACAUGUCUCUUUCCCUUACCGAAGUUUCACCUUCAUUCAUAUGCUUGAUUGGUUCCAUUUCUACUUCAGGUUUCUGGCUUAGAAAUAAUUGGAGCCUCUUCCCUCUAUAAUGAUAGUUUGCAGAGAAAUAACUUAAAAUCAAGUGAAGUGACGCCAUGUGAAAAAGAAAGGCUGCUAUGUUUCAGAAUUUUUUUUUGAAAAAAAAAAAAAAAACCACAUUUAUUUUAUUGUAUUUUCUAUUUUUUCGAGUCCAGAUGAGCCCUAAAAGCUGACACUUGGGAGGUUCUCUUUUCAACAAUAUAACUGACAUCACAGGGUUCAUGCCCUAAUCUUUCAUUCUCAAGGAAAUAAACAAACAUUUGGAUUGGCCAGAGCCCUGACCUUGUGGAUGACUAAGGCCCUCGGAGUUAAAUUCUAACUAAGAUUUUCCUCCUGGGACUUAAAUUCUAUCAUUUUGUGCUAUAUUUACCAAUGAUGUUACACUUUAUCUUUAUCUUAGCAAAUAUUUAAUUUGUUGAGAGAAAACAUGUCAUGAAUGCAUUACUCAGAAAUUCUCGUCUUUCCCAAAGAUUCCUGCAAGUGGCAGAAAUGGAACUUCUGGAGUCCUAUUAAUACAGUUGAAACAAAGCCAAAUGUCAACCUUUAAUGAAUUCAACAGAGAAGAGAUCUGACUUGUGAUGUGGAUCCAUUUUAGCAGAGUCACACAAUGAAUGGAUGUGAGGAAACAGCUAGGGGUGGAAUGGCUGGAAUAUAUUGAAGCAUCUCCAAUAUAGUGUUGAACAGAAGGGAUGAGAGCAGACUGGUGUUCGAGGAAGCACUUGGCAUUUUGAAAGUAAGUGUGAUGCUAACUGUAAGCUUUAAAAAUGGUUGCACUUUAUCAUGUUCAGGAAGAUGGCUUGGGCAAUUUAAUUGUGCUUGACGUUAGUAUACCUUUGAUAAUUCUUUGUGCUUGGUAAGCCUCUUGGAACUAAGGGUUUAUAGUUUUGUAAAGCUGAAUUUGUUUUUAUUAUUUUUCCUUCAGAUUAUUUUUUCUGUUUACUUUUUAUCCCUGUUCAUUGGAGGCUGCAAUUGUAUGUCAAUUGAGGUGCUUAAAAUUGAUCCCCAGUUCACUGAUUCUCCAUUUUUGUAAUUUUUUCUCUGUGUGUUUAGUGUUCAGUGGUUUCAUUUUGCAAUGUAUAAUCUGCCAUUUUUUCCAUCACAAGCAAUGGAAACAUUGUAGUUUACCUCAGUUGUUGUAAUUUUGUAAUUUUUAUUUCUAGAAGUUCAAUUAUGCUCUUUGAAAAGUUGUCUUCCAUAUUUCUCCUCAAGUUUUUGAAUAUAUGGAAUUCAGUUUCCUAUAUGUCAUAGAAGUGCUUUGACGUCAUUGUAUGCUAAUGAUAUCUGCAUCAAUUUGGUAUUGGCUUCAAUUGUGAGAUUUUUCUACAUAUUAUGAGCAUACUUUCCUAUUUACAUGCUUGUGCAUUAAUUUUUUUAAGAAUUAUUUUAUUAUUUUGAAAGAUAGAGGAGUUACAGAGAGUAGAGCCAGAGAGAGAGAGAGGUCUUCCAUUCCUCUGGUUCACUCCCCAAAUGACUGCAACGGCCAGAGCUGAGCCAAUCUGAAGCCAGGAGCCAGGAGCCUCUUCCAGGUCUCCCACAUCGGUGCAGGGUCCCAAAGAGUUGGACCAUCCUCUACUGCUUUCCCAGGCUAUAGCUGAGAGCUGGAUCAGAAGAGGAGCAACUGAGACACGAACCGGAGCCCAUAUGUGAUGCCGGUGCUGCAGGCUGGGGCUUUAACCCGUUGUGCCACAGC